rnacentral:rRNA from 1 species
GGCAACAGGUUUACCACCUUGUAGCCUGAUCUCUUUAGCUCUCAGAAGCUAAGCAAGGCUGGCCCUAGACAGUACUACAAGGACAAGAAAUAUUCAAGGCAAACUAGGUUGCUGUUACAA